rnacentral:tRNA from 1 species
UAGCUUAGUUGGUAGAGCAUGGCACUUGCAAUGUCAGGGUUGUGGGUUCAAAUCCCGU